rnacentral:rRNA from 1 species
UACGUAGGGUGCAAGCGUUAAUCGGAAUUACUGGGCGUAAAGCGUGCGCAGGCGGUUUUGUAGGUCUGACGUGAAAUCCUCGGGCUUAACCUGGGAAUUGCGUUGGAGACUGCAAGGCUGGAGUCUGGCAGAGGGGGGUAGAAUUCCACGUGUAGCAGUGAAAUGCGUAGAGAUGUGGAGGAACACCGAUGGCGAAGGCAGCCCCCUGGGUCAAGACUGACGCUCAUGCACGAAAGCGUGGGGAGCAAACAGG